AUUGAACGCUGGCGGCAUGCCUUACACAUGCAAGUCGAACGGCAGCACGGGAGCAAUCCUGGUGGCGAGUGGCGAACGGGUGAGUAAUAUGUCGGAACGUGCCCAGUCGUGGGGGAUAACGCAGCGAAAGCUGUGCUAAUACCGCAUACGAUCUCUGAAUGAAAGCGGGGGACCGCAAGGCCUCGCGCGAUUGGAGCGGC
rnacentral:rRNA from 1 species